rnacentral:rRNA from 1 species
AGACCGAUAGCGAACAAGUAGAGUGAUCGAAAGAUGAAAAGCACUUUGAAAAGAGAGUUAAACAGCACGUGAAAUUGUUGAAAGGGAAGCGUUUGCGACCAGACUCGCCCGCGGGGUUCAGCCGGCAUUCGUGCCGGUGUACUUCCCCGUGGGCGGGCCAGCGUCGGUUUGGGCGGCCGGUCAAAGGCCCUCGGAAUGUAUCACCUCUCGGGGUGUCUUAUAGCCGAGGGUGCAAUGCGGCCUGCCUGGACCGAGGAACGCGCUUCGGCUCGGACGCUGGCGUAAUGGUCGUAAAUGACCCGUCUUGAAACACGGACC